GUAGGUGGCAAGCGUUGUCCGGGAAUUAUUGGGGCGUAAAGCGCGCGCAGGCGGUUCUUUAAGUCUGAUGUGAAAGCCCACGGGCUCAACCGUGGAGGGUCAUUGGAAACUGGAGAACUUGAGUACAGAAGAGGAAAGCGGAAUUCCACGUGUAGCGGUGAAAUGCGUAGAGAUGUGGAGGAACACCAGUGGCGAAGGCGGCUUUCUGGUCUGUAACUGACGCUGAGGCGCGAAAGCGUGGGGAGCAAACAGGAUUAGAUACCCUGGUAGUCCACGCCGUAAACGAUGAGUGAUAAGUGUUAGGGGGUUUCCGCCCCUUAGUGCUGCAGCUAACGCAUUAAGCACUCCGCCUGGGGAGUACGGCCGCAAAGGCUGA
rnacentral:rRNA from 1 species